rnacentral:miRNA from 1 species
GCACAUGAUGAGGAAGCACUGAAA